AACGAACGCUGGCGGCAGGCUUAACACAUGCAAGUCGAACGGGCCCUUCGGGGCCAGUGGCAGACGGGUGAGUAACGCGUGGGAACGUGCCCUUCAGUUCGGGAUAACCCAGGGAAACUUGGGCUAAUACCGGAUACGUGCGAGAGCAGAAAGAUUUAUCGCUGAAGGAUCGGCCCGCGUCUGAUUAGCUGGUUGGUGGGGUAAUGGCCCACCAAUGCGACGAUCAGUAGCUGGUCUGAGAGGAUGAUCAGCCACAUUGGGACUGAGACACGGCCCAAACUCCUACGGGAGGCAGCAGUGGGGAAUAUUGGACAAUGGGCGCAAGCCUGAUCCAGCCAUGCCGCGUGAGUGAUGACGGCCUUAGGGUUGUAAAGCUCUUUCGCACGCGACGAUAAUGGCGGUAGCGUGAGAAGAAGCCCCGGCUAACUUCGUGCCAGCCGCCGCCGUAA
rnacentral:rRNA from 1 species